rnacentral:lncRNA from 1 species
GGCCCCGCUAGACGAAGAGCUGACCGCUCAGAGAAUGGUUACGAAAGGGACAAACAAGCCAACAAACGAAGUCCAGUCUCCCCAUUUGUUGUAACCGCCGGGUCCCCUUUGGUUGCCAUGGCACUUGAGGCCAGAAAGUCCUCAGCUCCCAGGUGAAGUCCUCCACCAGCUGCCCAUUCCUGGGGGUGGAUGCCGUGACAGCCACGCCAGAUUGUCAGCUACCCAGAAGGAGAGGAGGUGGCCGUCUGUGUUCUCCAAACUUCUGGGACUCCUCAAGGAGUGAAGUCUGAUCUACGCACGGAACCAACCACCACGGCAAAGGAAGAGCGAUGGCGCCCCCAUGUGGCAACACAAGCACUGCGAUUUCACACAAGACCAAAUCAGAAUUGGCCGGAGGGGAACGUCAGAUUCUUAGGGAGUGUUACUCCAACUAAUGCUACACUCAGGGCGACUUCUUGGAAGGCAAAAGCCCCAUAGUCUAGCCAUACAACUUUCCAGAAAAGUAGCACUCUUCAAAACAGCUGGCAUUAAAAUUCUUGGCUCUGCCAUCCACCCGUUCUGUGAGACUCUUUCCUCAUCCCCAAAAAUGGAAGGUCUGAUGACUUCAAAAAGAGUUUUACCGUUUUUCCCCUCAUUGAAAAUAAUAGAAAACAGUAAAAUACUGCAUUUCUGCCUUCA